rnacentral:tRNA from 1 species
GGGGAUUUAGCUCAGUGGUAGAGCGCUUGCCUAGGAAGCACAAGGCCCUGGAUUCAGUCCCCA